GAUGAACGCUAGCUACAGGCUUAACACAUGCAAGUCGAGGGGAAACGACAUCGAAAGCUUGCUUUUGGUGGGCGUCGACCGGCGCACGGGUGAGUAACGCGUAUCCAACCUGCCCACCACUUGGGGAUAACCUUGCGAAAGUAAGACUAAUACCCAAUGAUAUCCCACGAAGGCAUCCGAAUGGGAUUAAAGAUUUAUCGGUGAUGGAUGGGGAUGCGUCUGAUUAGCUUGUUGGCGGGGUAACGGCCCACCAAGGCAACGAUCAGUAGGGGUUCUGAGAGGAAGGUCCCCCACAUUGGAACUGAGACACGGUCCAAACUCCUACGGGAGGCAGCAGUGAGGAAUAUUGGUCAAUGGGCGAGAGCCUGAACCAGCCAAGUAGCGUGCAGGACGACGGCCCUAUGGGUUGUAAACUGCUUUUAUAAGGGAAUAAAGUGAGUCUCGUGAGACUUUUUGCAUGUACCUUAUGAAUAAGGACCGGCUAAUCCCGUG
rnacentral:rRNA from 1 species